ACGAACGCUGGCGGCAUGCCUAACCCAUGCAAGUCGAACGAGACCUUCGGGUCUAGUGGCGCCCGGGUGCGUAACGCGUGGGAACCUGCCCUUAGGUUCGGAAUAACUCCCCGAAAGGGGUGCUAAUACCGGAUAAUGUCUUCGGACCAAAGCUUUAUCGCCUUUGGAUGGGCCCGCGUUGGAUUAGCUAGUUGGUAGGGUAAAAGCCUACUAAGGCGACGAUCCAUAGCUGGUCUGAGAGGAUGAUCAGCCACACUGGGACUGAGACACGGCCCAGACUCCUACGGGAGGCAGCAGUGGGGAAUAUUGGACAAUGGGCGAAAGCCUGAUCCAGCAAUGCCGCGUGAGUGAUGAAGGCCUUAGGGUUGUAAAGCUCUUUUACCCGGGAUGAUAAUGACAGUACCGGGAGAAUAAGCUCCGGCUAACUCCGUG
rnacentral:rRNA from 1 species